rnacentral:rRNA from 1 species
GACGAACGCUGGCGGCGUGCUUAACACAUGCAAGUCGAACGGAAAGGCCCUGCUUUUGUGGGGUGCUCGAGUGGCGAACGGGUGAGUAACACGUGAGUAACCUGCCCUUGACUUUGGGAUAACUUCAGGAAACUGGGGCUAAUACCGGAUAGGAGCUCCUGCUGCAUGGUGGGGGUUGGAAAGUUUCGGCGGUUGGGGAUGGACUCGCGGCUUAUCAGCUUGUUGGUGGGGUAGUGGCUUACCAAGGCUUUGACGGGUAGCCGGCCUGAGAGGGUGACCGGCCACAUUGGGACUGAGAUACGGCCCAGACUCCUACGGGAGGCAGCAGUGGGGAAUAUUGCACAAUGGGCGGAAGCCUGAUGCAGCAACGCCGCGUGCGGGAUGACGGCCUUCGGGUUGUAAACCGCUUUCGCCUGUGACGAAGCGUGAGUGACGGUAAUGGGUAAAGAAGCACCGGCUAACUACGUGCCAGCAGCCGCGGUGAUACGUAGGGUGCGAGCGUUGUCCGGAUUUAUUGGGCGUAAAGGGCUCGUAGGUGGUUGAUCGCGUCGGAAGUGUAAUCUUGGGGCUUAACCCUGAGCGUGCUUUCGAUACGGGUUGACUUGAGGAAGGUAGGGGAAAAUGGAAUUCCUGGUGGAGCGGUGGAAUGCGCAGAUAUCAGGAGGAACACCAGUGGCGAAGGCGGUUCUCUGGGCCUUUCCUGACGCUGAGGAGCGAAAGCGUGGGGAGCGAACAGGCUUAGAUACCCUGGUAGUCCACGCUGUAAACGGUGGGUACUAGGUGUGGGGUCCAUUCCACGGGUUCCGUGCCGUAGCUAACGCUUUAAGUACCCCGCCUGGGGAGUACGGCCGCAAGGCUAAAACUCAAAGGAAUUGACGGGGCCCCGCACAAGCGGCGGAGCAUGCGGAUUAAUUCGAUGCAACGCGUAGAACCUUACCUGGGUUUGACAUGGAUCGGGAGUGCUCAGAGAUGGGUGUGCCUCUUUUGGGGUCGGUUCACAGGUGGUGCAUGGCUGUCGUCAGCUCGUGUCGUGAGAUGUUGGGUUAAGUCCCGCAACGAGCGCAACCCUUGUUCACUGUUGCCAGCACGUUAUGGUGGGGACUCAGUGGAGACCGCCGGGGUCAACUCGGAGGAAGGUGGGGAUGACGUCAAGUCAUCAUGCCCCUUAUGUCCAGGGCUUCACGCAUGCUACAAUGGCUGGUACAGAGAGUGGCGAGCCUGUGAGGGUGAGCGAAUCUCGGAAAGCCGGUCUCAGUUCGGAUUGGGGUCUGCAACUCGACCUCAUGAAGUCGGAGUCGCUAGUAGUCGCAGAUCAGCAACGCUGCGGUGAAUACGUUCCCGGGGCU